GGCUUUUACGAGAUAUCAGCACUUUUCUUUCAUUAGAGUGAAGGAGGGAGGAAAGGACAAAACGGCAGCAGACUUUUAAACUUUAAAUAGACAGGUCUGAGUGCCUGAACUGGCUUUUCAAUUUUAUUUCAGUCUCCAAAGAAUUCAGUCAUUUGCUUGGGCUGCAUCACUCCUUUUAAGCAAAAAAGUAAGUUUUAAAGAAA
rnacentral:other from 1 species